CGGUGUCGUGUAUCGCUCCCUUGAAAAGUCAGGUUUUUCUCGUAGGUGGAAGAAAUCGCUCUAUGGCCUACGUCCUCACAGAUGCUGCACAUCCAACCUCUGCCAUUCAAACCGCAUUGUCCAGCGUUUCACUGUUCCAAUGAGACGACAGGGUCAGAUCCCACGAGAGGAAGCCUGAAGAAGAAUGGCCAACUCUAAUUCUCAAGACAUGGUCUGUGGGUCAGUGACAUUUAGGGAUGUGGCUGUUGACUUCUCUCAGGAGGAGUGGGCCUGCCUGGAUGCUACUCAGAAGGUCUUAUACAGGGACAUGAUGUUGGAGACCUACAGCAACCUGGUCGCAGUGGUGGGACGUUGCAUUUCCAAGCCAGAUCUGAUCGUCUUACUAGAGCAGGAGAAAGAGCCCUGGAUGGCUGUGAAGGAAGAAACAGACAGGCCGAGCCCAGGUGAGUAAGAGUGAAGUGAUUCAUUAUUGGUUGUGUGCGCACACACGUGUGCAGGUAUCCUAAGAGGCCCUAGAGAGGGUCAGCUCCCUGGGCUGGAGUUAUAGGGGCUGCUGGGUCUCUAACCCAGGGCCUCGGGCAGAGCUCUCAGAGUUCUUGACCACUGAACCAAAGCCAAGACGGUUUCAGCAGCAUUGACAGCUGUAACGCAGGGAGGGGCACCAAAUGUCUGAAUUCUGUGUCUUCGUGGUCACUGUAGUCACGGUGUGAUGGUGGCGCCUCCCUGCAGCACUGGGGAGGUGGCAAAGGCAGAUCCCUUGGGCUUGCUGGCAAGUCAGCUCCAGGCAAAUGAGAGACCCUGACUCACAAAGCACAGAUGGACAAGCCAGGGGGACAUCUGAGUGCAUAUACCACACAGCCUUCUACCUAGCUUGGCAGGGAGCUGUGAUGGUUUUCUUAGUUGGCAAAUUGACUAGGAACUAACUAAAAUCCAAGCAUCUGAGUACACCUAUGAGAGAUUUUUGUUAAGUAAAGUAUUUAAAGUAGGAAGACCCACCUUUAAUCCACAUCUUUUGAGAUGGGAAGACCCACCUUACAUCUGGGUCUUCCUUGUGGUGCAGCCUGGGAACAGGAUGUGAAGGAAGCUCUGCUCUUUGUCUGCUUCCCUUACUCUGGUGUCAAGUCCAGUCUACUUGGGAGUCUGCAUGGUUCUUGUACCGUAGUAGGCAUCUUAUUCAUUAGAGUAGGGGAAUUUUCUUCUAUGAUUUUGUUGAAAAUAUUUCUUUUAUCUUUGAACUGGUCCUGCUCCUCCUCCUUCGAUUUGCACAGGUUUUUUUUUUUUUUUUUAGAUUUACCAUUUUAUUUGUGACAGGUAUUUAUUUCUUUUAUUGUGUCUUCAAUGUGUAGCCUUAGAUUUUUUUCAAAACCUAUUUUAAUUCUAGUUCUUUAAUGCUUUCAACCCACCACCCACCAGAGGUAGUAGAAAAGAAAGGUUAAUAGAAAACAGGAGUUGUUGAUCUGUUUAGAAAUAAUUCUUUGGGGCAAUUCCAAUCUUUAUUGUUAGCAGUCCAGUUCACUAGCAAAACACCAAACAUGAAUCUGUAGCAGCAGCUCAGGCCAGAAGAAACUAUAAGGCUGUGCCGAUUGGCACAAGCCCGCAGAAGCAGCAAAAAGCAGCUUGGAUACCAGAAGGACUUUGGUGCAUUUUUCUCUGCAAAAUCAUGACAAGCAAAGAUCAGCAAAGAAAGCAAGGCGAAUCAAUUUCAAGAGCAUCAUCAGCGAAGACCAGUGUCAGGAAAGACCAACAAAGACUAGUGAGGAGUUGCAAGGCGAACCAAUGCAAAGGCGUUGUCCACUGUCUGUUGGGUUAUUCUUAUACCCUUCCAAACAUCACAUACUCUCUCAAGCGUCUGCCCCUGCAAAACAUCACAUGCCCUUUCACCAGAGAGUUUCCAGAAAACCACCAUAUGCCUGUUCUCAGCAAAACAUCAUCUCUCUCAUAAGACAGCUUCCAGAAAAACAUUACAUGACACAACGAAGUCUCCAGCAAUUUCCACUUCAUUAGUGUCUGAGAUUUUUCUUCCACCUCUCGUAUUCCGUUGGUUACUCUUGCCUCUGAGGGUCCUGUUUGAGUUUGUAAGCUUUUUGUUUCCAGAUGUUUCUCAGUUUUAGUUUUCUUUAUUGAUUCUAUUUGCGCUUUCAGGUCUUGAACUAUUUCAUUCAUUUCCUUCCACUGUUUGUGUUUUAAUAGAUUGCUUUAAGGGAUAUUGUCCUCUUUAAUGACUUAUAUCAUGUUUUAAAAGGCUAUUUAAAUAUUUUUCUUGCGCUUCAGCAAUGUUUUAAUAAUACUCAGGGUCUGCUGUGGUACAGUUGCUGGGCUCUGGUGCACACAUAUCACCUAGCUUUUAUUAUGUUUUUGUACUGACUUUUAGGCAUCUGUAUUUGUGAAGUGCUUAUAUCUGAUCUUGUCUUUGUUGGCUGGGUUUUUUUGUUAUUUGGUUUCUAUUGCUCUUUCCGGUUCCUAGGAGAGUGUGGUAGCUAUGUAUUACUUGGAAGGAAAUUCUCGUGGAAUCCUGAUGGGUAUAAACACUGAGAAUUCCAGGUAAAAUGUGUUCCUAGGUAAUGGGAGCUGACACUUAGGAAUGGGGAUGGGGUAGGAGGGGUGUGUCCAGGGAUUGUGGUUAUUUGAAUAUGUUUGGCCCAGUGAAUGGUACUAUUAGGAGGUGUAGCCUUGUUGGAGGAAGUGUGACACUUUGGGGGUGGGCAAUGAGACCCUCCUCCUAACCACUUGGGAGCCAGUCUUCUCCUAGCAGCCUUCAGAAAAAGAAGUAGAACUCUCAGCUCCUCCUGCUUGGAUGCUGCCAUGCUUCCAUCUUGAUGAUACUGGCCUGAACCUGUAAGCCAGCCCCAAUUAAAUGUCCUAUAAGAGUUGCCUUGGUCAUGGUGUCUCUUCACAGCAGUAAAACUUUACUAAGACAGAAGCUGGUACCAGAGACUAGCAUAUUGCUGUGAUAGCCUGCCCAUGCUUUUGUUUGGAAUAAUGUGGAUCUUAAGACUUUGGACUGGGAAAGCAGUGGAGUCCUCUAAAUGGGACUUAAUAGGCUAUCCUAGUAGGAAUAUGGAAGACUUUGUUGCUGAGAAUGAUUUUGAACUGUGCAGAUCCGGCCCAAAAGGUUUCAGUGGAGAAGAAUUUCAGUGUGUGGCCUAGAGACUGUUUUUGUGGUAUUUUGGUGAAGAAGGUGGCUGCUUUUUGCCAUUGUUCAAAGAGUUUGCCUGAGGCUAAGCUGAAGAGAUUUUGAUAAAUUGCUUUGAAAAAGGAAGUCUCAAAACAGUGUGGUAUAAAUAUUGUUUUGUGGUUACUACAGUUCAGUCUUAUGAAGAGUGUUUGAGUGUUUUAAUGAAAAAGAACAAACUG
rnacentral:lncRNA from 1 species